AUUGAACGCUGGCGGCAGGCCUAACACAUGCAAGUCGAGCGGAGCGGCGGACGGGUGAGUAAUGCCUAGGAAUCUGCCUGGUAGUGGGGGAUAACGUCCGGAAACGGGCGCUAAUACCGCAUACUAUCAGAUGAGCCUAGGUCGGAUUAGCUAGUUGGUGGGGUAAAGGCCUACCAAGGCGACGAUCUCUAGCUGGUCUGAGAGGAUGAUCAGCCACACUGGGACUGAGACACGGCCCAGACUCCUACGGGAGGCAGCAGUGGGGAAUAUUGCACAAUGGGCGCAAGCUUGAUACAGCCAUGCCGCGUGUAUGAAGAAGGCCUUAGGGUUGUAAAGUACUUUCAGCGAGGAGGCGUUACUCGCAGAAGAAGCACCGGCUAACUACGUGCCAGCAGCCGCGGUAAUAC
rnacentral:rRNA from 1 species